rnacentral:rRNA from 1 species
UACAGAGGGGGCAAGCGUUAUUCGGAAUUAUUGGGCGUAAAGGGCGCGUAGGCGGCUUUGCAAGUGACGGGUGAAAUCCCUCGGCUUAACCGAGGAACUGCCUGUCAAACUGCAUGGCUUGAGACCGGGAGAGGUGAGUGGAAUUCCCAGUGUAGCGGUGAAAUGCGCAGAUAUCAGGAGGAACACCUAUGGCGAAGGCAGCUCGCUGGGACGGUACUGACGCUGAGACGCGAAAGCGUGGGGAGCGAACAGG